rnacentral:rRNA from 1 species
GUUGGGUAGGGGAGCGUUCUGUAAGCCUGCGAAGGUGUACUGUGAGGUAUGCUGGAGGUAUCAGAAGUGCGAAUGCUGACAUAAGUAACGAUAAUGCGGGUGAAAAACCCGCACGCCGGAAGACCAAGGGUUCCUGUCCAACGUUAAUCGGGGCAGGGUGAGUCGACCCCUAAGGCGAGGCUGAAAAGCGUAGUCGAUGGGAAACGGGUUAAUAUUCCCGUACUGGUGGUAACUGCGAUGGGGGAACGGAGAAGGCUAGGUUGUCCGGGCGACGGUCGUCCCGGUUCAAGCAGGUAGGCAGAGUGAUUAGGCAAAUCCGGUCACUUAAUGCUGAGAUGUGAUGACGAACCACCAAGGUGGUGAAGCAAUUGAUGCCCCGCUUCCAGGAAAAGCCUCUAAGCUUCAGGUUACCAACAAUCGUACCCCAAACCGACACAGGUGGUCAGGUAGAGAAUACUCAGGCGCUUGAGAGAACUCGGGUGAAGGAACUAGGCAAAAUGGUGCCGUAACUUCGGGAGAAGGCACGCUGGCGGUAGGUAAAGUCCCUCGCGGACGGCGCUGAAGCCAGUCGAAGAUACCAGCUGGCUGCAACUGUUUAUUAAAAACACAGCACUGUGCAAACACGAAAGUGGACGUAUACGGUGUGACGCCUGCCCGGUGCUGGAAGGUUAAUUGAUGGGGUUAGCGUAAGCGAAGCUCCUGAUCGAAGCCCCAGUAAACGGCGGCCGUAACUAUAACGGUCCUAAGGUAGCGAAAUUCCUUGUCGGGUAAGUUCCGACCUGCACGAAUGGCGUAAUGAUGGCCAGGCUGUCUCCACCCGAGACUCAGUGAAAUUGAACUCGCUGUGAAGAUGCAGUGUACCCGCGGCAAGACGGAAAGACCCCGUGAACCUUUACUAUAGCUUGACACUGAACAUUGAGCCUUGAUGUGUAGGAUAGGUGGGAGGCUUUGAAGUGUGGACGCCAGUCUGCAUGGAGCCAACCUUGAAAUACCACCCUUUAACGUUUGAUGUUCUAACCUAGGCCCAUAAACUGGGUCGGGGACCGUGUCUGGUGGGUAGUUUGACUGGGGCGGUCUCCUCCUAAAGAGUAACGGAGGAGCACGAAGGUUGGCUAAGCAUGGUCGGACAUCAUGCGGUUAGUGCAAAGGCAUAAGCCAGCUUGACUGCGAGAGUGACGGCUCGAGCAGGUACGAAAGUAGGUCUUAGUGAUCCGGUGGUUCUGAAUGGAAGGGCCAUCGCUCAACGGAUAAAAGGUACUCCGGGGAUAACAGGCUGAUACCGCCCAAGAGUUCAUAUCGACGGCGGUGUUUGGCACCUCGAUGUCGGCUCAUCACAUCCUGGGGCUGAAGUAGGUCCCAAGGGUAUGGCUGUUCGCCAUUUAAAGUGGUACGCGAGCUGGGUUUAGAACGUCGUGAGACAGUUCGGUCCCUAUCUGCCGUGGGCGUUGGAAGAUUGAGAGGGGUUGCUCCUAGUACGAGAGGACCGGAGUGAACGCACCACUGGUGUUCGGGUUGUCAUGCCAAUGGCAUUGCCCGGUAGCUAAGUGCGGAAGAGAUAACCGCUGAAAGCAUCUAAGCGGGAAACUUGCCUCGAGAUGAGUCUUCCCUGUCGCUUUAAGCGACCUAAAGGAACGUUUAAGACUAAGACGUUGAUAGGCUGGGUGUGUAAGCGUAGCGAUACGUUGAGCUAACCAGUACUAAUGAACCGUGAGGCUUAACCUGACAACACCGAAAGUGUUUUG